AUGCCAUCGAGUGCCUUGAAGCCAAAUCAGUGCAGACUUGUGGUCCUGCUACCUGCCACUUCCAGAAUAGCUUUUUGGAUCAGUUCUCCAUGGAAAGAGCCAUCCUCAUGCCUGCUGAAAGAUGUGUUUUCCAUUGCAGUCACAAGGAGAUUCAAAUUCCUGGAGUGCUUGGGAGCCAAACCUCCAGAUCAGGUCCUCAAUGGUUUUUUGGUAAGUGAAAUUCUUUACUGCCCAGCUGAUGUUGCUAAUGCUGUGAUCCUCCCUUCCCUAUCCAGGAAUGGGUUAAUAUUUACCACAGAUGUAUAGCUGCUGCAUCAGAAAUGGCAACUUGAGUCAACACUGCUCAGAUGUGAUGAACAGACUCUGUGCAUUCAUGUGUUGUACGAGAUGUGGCAUUGUCCUAGUACUACUUCUUAGCACUACAGCAGCCCAGCAAAAAGACUUGACAAUGAAUAUUCCAUUGAAAAUGGUUUUGGUCAUUGACUCAAAGUCAACUGCAUGAUGGCUGCUGGCUUACAACAUGACAACAGCAUCUUUCCAAAUUAAUUAAGAAAAACCUACAAAGAAUAUAAGUAUUUCUAAAAUACAGGAAGUCCUUUGCCAACAGAGGCAGUGACUACAAAAUUACUGAUAUAUCUCCCAAGCCAUGUGUAAAUAUCCCAUGUCUAGAUUACUUGGGGGGGCGUGGGGAGGAAAUCACUCUUCAGCUUGACUUUUUGCAUGUGUACAAGUGCGUGGAUUUGUGACUUUCAGAGUGCCUGUACUCUGUUUCAGUGAUCCUGUUGCGGUUUGUAUAACUUCUGUAGAAAGCCUUGAAAAGGUAAAGAUAUCACAAAGCAUAUCACAACUAGAGGAUUGAUUGGACUCACUAUGAACAAGAAUCAGGACUUAUAAAAUUGAAAAGGUCACUGCAUUACUCUGUCGCAGUGAAAAAGGAAAAGCAAUGUGAGGAAUUAUUUAGGAGAGGAAGAACAAAACAGAAAACAUCAGCAAGCUACUCUAUAAUACUUUCAUGCACUGUGUCUUGAAAAUUGUGUGUAAUUCCAGUGCAAUGCUCUCAGAAGAUUGUAGUGGGAUUGAAAGUAGCACAGAGGAGAAUGACGGGGAUGAUCACAGAUUCGGGACAGACUGCACAAUGAAUGACUAACUAGACUUCUCUCUCUGAAUAGAGAGAGAGAGGAGUGUGGGAAAGCAGAGGUCUAUGAAAUUAUAUGUGGUAUAAAGAAGAUAAAGAGCAAAAGAAGGUACCUGGUGCCUGACACACCUUCAGAUCUCAGCAUCUGUAAUGCUGCAGGUCAGCUGUUUUCAGCUCUGCAACCUUUCACUUGAGUUGCCUGGGGUGCCAGAGCCCUGUCAGCAGAUCUUCCUUGCAUUCCUAUGCUUUUAUGACAGUGCUGAGGAUCUGCAUGGCCCUGCAGCUGCAGACCCUGGUGCUCAGUUUGAGAAGCAAACUGCCACUGGAUCCUUCCAUCUUGCCCAUGGUUAGAGGUGCUGAGGAAGACAUCAAAGACAGCAGGGUGCAAAGGAUUUGAUAUAGCCAUGAGUGAUCCGAGUCACCUGGAAAGUGCACAGUGUUUUGUGGUAAGUAUAGGGGAUAGGUUAAUUAGAGUAUUCCUAGUCACUUGAUAAAUCCAGGGCUGAAAGAGAAAGGAGAUACUGCAGUGAUGUAGCUGAGAUGUCACUGCAUCUCCUGUAUCCAGCAUGUAAUGUGUGCUUAACUAUGCAACAUCCUUUGUUUUUGUCCUUAGUAAUAAGUGCACAAUAAAAGGACCAGAACCAAUAUUUUAAGUCCA
ensembl:lncRNA